GCCUAGCCCUAAAUCUCGAUACUUACCAUACUGAAGUAUCCGCCUGAGAACUACGAGCACAAACGCUUAAAACUCUAAGGACUUGGCGGUGCCCCAAACCCACCUAGAGGAGCCUGUUCUAUAAUCGAUAACCCACGAUACACCCAACCACUCCUUGCUAGUGCAGCCUACAUACCGCCGUCGCCAGCUCACCUCCUCUGAGGGCCCAACAGUGAGCACAACAGCCCCGCUAACAAGACAGGUCAAGGUAUAGCCACGGAGUGGAAGAAAUGGGCUACAUUUUCUAAAAUAGAUAACCAAGGGGGGUGUGAAACCUCCCCCAGAAGGCGGAUUUAGCAGUAAAGGGGGAUAAUAAUGCCCUCUUUAAACUGGCCCCUGGAG
rnacentral:rRNA from 1 species